rnacentral:rRNA from 1 species
GGCGCAAGCCUGAUCCAGCAAUGCCGCGUGCAGGAAGAAGGCCUUCGGGUUGUAAACUGCUUUUGUACGGAGCGAAAAGGCUCUCUCUAAUACAGAGGGCUGAUGACGGUACUGUAAGAAUAAGCACCGGCUAACUACGUGCCAGCAGCCGCGGUAAUACGUAGGGUGCGAGCGUUAAUCGGAAUUACUGGGCGUAAAGCGUGCGCCGGCGGUUUUGUAAGACAGGCGUGAAAUCCCCGGGCUCAACCUGGGAAUGGCGCUUGUGACUGCAAAGCUGGAGUGCGGCAGAGGGGGAUGGAAUUCCGCGUGUAGCAGUGAAAUGCGUAGAUAUGCGGAGGAACACCGAUGGCGAAGGCAAUCCCCUGGGCCUGCACUGACGCUCAUGCACGAAAGCGUGGGGAGCAAACAGGAUUAGAUACCCUGGUAGUCCACGCCCUAAACGAUGUCAACUGGUUGUUGGGUCUUUACUGACUCAGUAACGAAGCUAACGCGUGAAGUUGACCGCGCUGCGCGCACGUCGACCUG